ACAAGUGAUUAAUACAAUGUGUCCUAUCAUAUUUCAAAUGCUCAAGACUCUCUACGUUGUUCUCAUUAUUAUCAAUUUAAUAAUAUUCCAACCCUUUUCACUCCAAUUUUGGUUUAAUUAAGAUUGUUCACCAAUUUGUUCUGACGACUCGAAACCUUGCACAUACGGGUUUGAUAUGAGCUUUCUUCGUAUUCUGUAUGUUUGUGUAUUUACUUGGUUGGGUGUACACACUUACACGGGUUAGCAAGUAGUAAAUUGACAUCAAACAAGCUCACUUGUUUUAUCCAAUUUGUUUAUUAAAAAGCUUUAUAUAACACCAUAUUCAACAGGAUGGAAUUUUAUUUUUCAUAAAAAAAUUAUAAAAACGUUUUUAGAUACAUUUUCGUUUUCAUAAAACAUUUUUUUAUAAAAACUUUUUUUAGAAGUUUGGUAAAUAAGUUUUCCACCAACAAACUUUUAGGGAAAAACACAAUAAUCUAAACAUAAUGCAUCUUCAAAAACUGAAUACCAUAUUAUGUUGCAUUUUUAGGGAUUUUAAGUUUAAAAAUACGUUUAUAGAUAAUAUUAGUUAGUUGAAAAAGAUACAGGUUAUUUAAUUCGUUGGUUGUAUAAUUCAUUAGUUGUUUUCACUUCAAGAAAUUUCGUGUUCUUUAGAUAUAGUAUAAUUCAUUAGUUUUUUUCGCAUCAAGAAAUUUCUUAUUCUUUAGAAUUCUUGGUUUACAGGUAAUUCAAUUUUCUGUUGUAUAUAACUUUGAUUUAUUCUUCUAUGCUCACACUUAAUAUUCAUCUUAUUUAUUAUUUAGUAGUUUUGGAGCUUCAAUAUUCAUCCCUUGAGAUCUUUACACAGUUCCCAAACUGCUCUGGCUACUACUAGCUACUACGUAAGUAUCAGUUAAAGAGGAGAACAGAGAAGAAACUCAUCCUCCAAAGGAUGUAAAAAUCAAACAGGAAGAGAUACAAGAAAUUCUGAAGGACACUGAUCUCGAUGAUGACAAAUGGUGGUGUAACAAAAAUAGAUGAUAUCCUUGAGAUGUUUAAGCCGUAUGAUCUUAUCAUGAUGCAAAGUACUUGACACUUGAGCUUUUAGUUUUCAACUUUUAUAUUUAAGACUUAUAUUUCUU
rnacentral:lncRNA from 1 species